CUCCCUCUCUCUGCAAACAGGUGGCUGUACAGGGCUUGGCAAAUAUUUCCUUAUUGCUCCCUUUACUUUCUCCGAGAGGAAGGUUGGGUGGUCCAGAGGAUUUCCCAGAUGGAGCAGCAGGCUUCCCAUGCCUGCCAUUUGCAUAAGUGGCAAGGGGGGGAAAUGAGGAGACCUUCCAAUGUCUUCUCUACCAAGUGAAUCUCUGACUCUACAAGUUUCCUUCCCAAGACACUGUGGUCCAGGGCUACCUCCCUUACAGCCUACAUGACAACAUGUGCAAAUUAUUUGUCAGCAUCUAAUUGCAAGAACGAUGAGGAAACCAAGGCACAGAGGUUAAACAACGUGUCCAAGCCACGUAGCAAGUAAACAAUUGAGCCAGGCUCCAAAUCCAAACGUUCUGGCGUCAGAGUCCUAUAAAGAUUUUUUUGGCCUAAUGUGAGGAAGUACUUUCUAAGAAUAAGAGUUUACCAAUUAAAAGGGGGUUGCUGUUUUAUGAAGAUAUUUAAACCAAGGCUGAGGGGCCAUUUUCAAGGGAUGCUGACUCGGUAAAAGUUCUUUGGCAGCAAGCAUCAGAAACCAAAUGUAACAACUUUAAGCUAAAAAAUAAAAAGAAGGAAGAGGAAGAAGAGAAGAUGGGGUUGAGGGAGGAGGACAGGAAAAAAAAGGAGAAGAAAGGUGAAGAGGAAAGUGAGGAGGAGGAAGAGGCAAAAAAAGGGGCAUUUGUUGGAAGUGGGGUGCAGAAAAAAUAAACAGCUGAAGAUUCAAAUUCAAGAAGGACCAGAAACAAGGACUGCCCUAGGAUCCAGGGAGCAGGAACUGAUUAACCGUUUCUUUAGGGCACAAUUACCCAAAUAAAUCAGCUCUAAUGGAUUUCUGUCUUUUUGCCAUUCUGCUUAAGAUUCAAGUUCCAGGGAAAGAACAUUCCCUUGGCCUAGCCUUGGGAAAGAUCGACAAUAAAAAUCGCUAAUAUUUAUGGUGUUUAUUCUCUACCAGCCACUGUUCUAAGCACCACAUCUGCAUGUAUUUUCUUCUCACAGACACCCUAUGAGAUAGCUACUAUUAUAGCUAAGAAACUGAGACAGAGAAUGUUAGCUGUCAUUCAACGUGAGGCAGUGUGGUUGCCACCAUGUUUGCUCUAAUAUCAAAAUGGAAAGGAUAGGCUCCCUAAGACAAAAUGUUGAUGUUGAUGAAGAAGGGGAAUGGAUGCUAAGAGAUAAAACCCACAGAUGCUCUCUCAGGGCUUGGUCUUGCUAGAAGGGAAAGAGAGGACUCCCGAGGUGUCUUCUGACCCAGGAAUUCUACAUUCUAGUUUCCAUCCUAACCCUCUUGGUUAUUGCAAGGAGAAGAUGAAACAAAGCAAGGAGGCCGGGUGUGGUGGCUCACACCUAUAAUCCCAGUACUUUGGGAGGCUGAGGCAGGCAGAUUGCUUGAGUCCAGGAGUUCGAGAUUAGCCUGGGCAACAUGGUGAAACCCCACCUCUACCAAAAGUAAAAUUAAAAAAAAAUAGCUGAGCAUGGUGGCAUGUGCCUGUGGUCCCAGCUACUCAGGAGGCUAAGGUGAGAGGAUUGCUUGAGCCCCGGAGGUGGAGGUUGCAGUGAACCGAGAUUGCACUAAUGCACUCCAGCCUGGGCAAGAGUGAGACCCUGUCUCAAAAAGAAAAAAAGCAAGGAGCAAAAAGACAACAGAAAAGAUAUAACAAAGGACUGAGUGCAACAGAAACAUAGGAGAACAAAUAGUUCCUGAACAGGAUACAACCAAAUGACAAAAUUCUGAGAGAAAAAAAAAUGCCUAUCAAAGUAUAACUUGAAAGACAACAAAGAAAAGAUUCCAAGUCCUAUAAAAGUUUGAGAAUGAAAUAAAAUGAAGAAAAGCAGAGAGGCCAAUUUCUCACAAAUAGUGAAAACCUGAUGUGAAACUCUACUACAAGAGGUUGCACUCCAUCAUGAUUCACAAUGAAAGUUUGGAGUCAGGCUGCCAGAAUUAAAUCCUGCCUCCAGCACCUCCAGCUGUGUCACUUUGAAAGCAUUACAUGACCUGUCUGUGCCUCGGUCUCGUCUGUAAGAUUUUAAUAAUGCCUAAUUAUUAAAUUAACAAUUUAAUAGUUAUUAAUAAUUGUUAGUAGUGUCAGAGGAGUGUUGAAAGGGUAAAGUCUUAAGCACAGUGCCUGGCACAUAGCAAGUGCUUACUAAACGUUAGCCACGCGGCCACUGUAUGUGAGCUCCUACAAGCCCAACAUGGUCUUGGGACAGGCCGACAGGUUGAGUGCCUGGAAGAAACCCCUCUUGGGGAAUCAUAAGCAGAGACCCCCGAAAAGCAGAGACCUGGUUUCUGCAUGGGAGGUCAGGAAAGCGGCACCACCAACAGAUGCGGGUCCUUAGCAGAGAGAUGAGCAGGUGAGGAGAGGAAAAGCCUCCCAGGAGUUGAGAGUCUGGAUAGUGGAAUGCCAGAAAUGAAGCUCUGGAAAAACAUUCUACUUAAAAUAUAAUUGUAAGAACUCCUCUUUGUAGGGCUCUCGGAGAAACCCUCUGAAAUCUCCAAGGAGUUGGAGAACCGGACCCUGGGUUUGCAAUCAAGAGCUCUGUGUUCUGGCUUCUGCUGAUGCUAGUAGGCUCUGGGUCCUUUCAGGGUCUCAACUUCCUUGUCUGAAAAAGUGGGCAUAAUGGUAUCUACCUCAAAUGAUUGAAGUGAAGAUUAAAUGAGGAAUGUCUGUAAAACACCUGGAACAUAGGGGCUACUGAAUAAAUGAUAACUUUCCUUACACUCUCACUCACUGUUACAAAACAACAAUGCAUAGAACAGGGUGUCCCUGGAGCCAGAAGAAUAAAGUAAGUGCAUGCUUGUUGAAUUCAUCAACUUCCAGAAUGCCCCAUGUGUUCUAGUGAAUCCAUAUCUGAUAUAGUUUGGAUGUUUGGCCCCUCUAAAUCUCAUGUUGAAAUGUAAUUCCUAAUGUCAGAGGUGGGGCCUGGUUGGGAGGUGUUUAAAUCAUGGGGUUGAAUCCCUCAUGAAUGGCUUGGUGCCAUCCUUGUGGUAUUGAGUGAGUUCUCACUUUAUGAGUUCAAAUGAGAUCCGGCUCUUUAAAAGAGCCUGGAAUGGGCCAGACACAGUGGCUCACACCUGUAAUCCCAGCAUUUUGGGAGGCCGAGGUGGGUGGGUCACGAGGUCAGGAGUUCGAGACUAGCUGGACCAACAUGGUGAAACCCCGGUCCUACUAAAAAUACAAAAAUUAGCCAGGCAUGGUGGCACAUGCCUGUAAUCUCAGCUACUCAGGAGGCUGAGGCAGGAAAAUUGCUUGAACCCAGGAGGCAGAGGUUGCAGUAAGCUGAGAUCAUGCCAUUGCACUCCAGCCUAGGGGACAGAGUGAGACUCCAUCUGAGAAAAGAAAAAGAGCCUGGAACUUCCUCCUCUCUCUUUUGCUCUUUCUCUCUUGCCAUGUAACACACAGGUUCCACUUUGCCUUCCACCAUGGUUGUCAGUUGCCUGAGGCUCUCACCAGAAGUAGAUGCCAGCACUAUGCUUCAUGUCCAACCUGCAGAACU
rnacentral:lncRNA from 10 species